ensembl:miRNA
AGAGGCAGGUAGAUCUCUGUGAGUUCGAGACCAGCCUGGUCAACAUAAUGAGUUCCAGGCCAGCUGGGGUUACAGGGAGACCUUGUCUC